GUUUAUUAAGUUGGGGGUGAAAUCUCCGGGCUCAACCCGGAGCUCGUUCUCAAAACUGGUAGACUUGAGUAAGGUAGAGGCUGACGGAAUUCUGCAAGUAGGGGUAAAAUCCGUUGAUCUGCAGAGGAACACCAAAAGCGAAGGCAGUCAGCUGGGCCUUUACUGACGCUGAGGGACGAAAGCGUGGGUAGCGAACGGGAUUAGAUACCCCGGUAGUCCACGCCGUAAAUGAUGGAUACUGGACAUUGGUACUCGAUCGUAUCAGUGUCUCAAGCUAACGCAUUAAGUAUCCCGCCUGGGGAGUACGGUCGCAAGAUUAAAACUCAAAGGAAUAGACGGGGACCCACACAAGCGGUGGAGCAUGUGGUUUAAUUCGACAAUAAGCGAGGAACCUUACCAGGGCUUGACAUCCCGAGAAUUCUUUAGAAAUAGAGAAGUGCCUUUAUGGAACUCGGUGACAGGUGCUGCAUGGUUGUCGUCAGCUCGUGCCUUGAGGUGUUCGGUUAAGUCCGUAAACGAGCGCAACCCUAGUCCUAUGUUGUAUAUUUCAUAGGAGACUGCCUUGUCCAACGAGGAGGAAGGUUAGGAUGACGUCAAAUCAGCAUGGCCCUUAUGUCCUGGGCGACACACGUGCUACAAUGGUCGGUACAAUGGGUAGCCAACCCGCGAGGGGGAGCCAAUCCCAUCAAAGCCGGUCCAAGUUCGGAUUGGAGGCUGCAACUCGCCUCCAUGAAGUUGGAAUCGCUAGUAAUCG
rnacentral:rRNA from 1 species